rnacentral:rRNA from 1 species
GUAAUGGCUCACCAAGGCGACGACGGGUAGCCGCCUGAGAGGGUGACCGGCCACACUGGGACUGAGACACGGCCCAGAUUCCUACGGGAGGCAGCAGUGGGGAAUAUUGCACAAUGGGCGAAAGCCUGAUGCAGCAACGCCGCGUGAGGGAUGACGGCCUUCGGGUUGUAAACCUCUUUUAGUAGGGAAGAAGCGAAAGUGACGGUACCUGCAGAAAAAGCACCGGCUAACUACGUGCCAGCAGCCGCGGUAAUACGUAGGGUGCAAGCGUUGUCCGGAAUUAUUGGGCGUAAAGAGCUCGUAGGCGGUUUGUCGCGUCUGCUGUGAAAUCCCGAGGCUCAACCUCGGGCUUGCAGUGGGUACGGGCAGACUAGAGUGCGGUAGGGGAGAUUGGAAUUCCUGGUGUAGCGGUGGAAUGCGCAGAUAUCAGGAGGAACACCGAUGGCGAAGGCAGAUCUCUGGGCCGUAACUGACGCUGAGGAGCGAAAGCAUGGGGAGCGAACAGGAUUAGAUACCCUGGUAGUCCAUGCCGUAAACGUUGGGCGCUAGAUGUAGGGACCUUUCCACGGUUUCUGUGUCGUAGCUAACGCAUUAAGCGCCCCGCCUGGGGAGUACGGCCGCAAGGCUAAAACUCAAAGGAAUUGACGGGGGCCCGCACAAGCGGCGGAGCAUGCGGAUUAAUUCGAUGCAACGCGAAGAACCUUACCAAGGCUUGACAUACACCGGAAACGGCCAGAGAUGGUCGCCCCCUUGUGGUCGGUGUACAGGUGGUGCAUGGUUGUCGUCAGCUCGUGUCGUGAGAUGUUGGGUUAAGUCCCGCAACGAGCGCAACCCUCGUUCUAUGUUGCCAGCGGGUUAUGCCGGGGACUCAUAGGAGACUGCCGGGGUCAACUCGGAGGAAGGUGGGGAUGACGUCAAAUCAUCAUGCCCCUUAUGUCUUGGGCUUCACGCAUGCUACAAUGGCCGGUACAAAGGGCUGCGAUACCGUAAGGUGGAGCGAAUCCCAAAAAGCCGGUCUCAGUUCGGAUUGAGGUCUGCAACUCGACCUCAUGAAGUCGGAGUCGCUAGUAAUCGCAGAUCAGCAACGCUGCGGUGAAUACGUUCCCGGGCCUUGUACACACCGCCCGUCAAGUCAUGAAAGUCGGUAACACCCGAAGCCGGUGGCCUAACCCU